rnacentral:ncRNA from 2 species
AAAGAAAUGUCUCUCCGAGUCUACUCGCCUAAAAGGUAAUAACCUCAUGGCGUUUUGGCCAACGGGUAUUGCCGGAAACGGCAAUGCCUCCCUUUUGGAAAGGAGAACCUGCUGUCCCGGA